CCUACGGGCGGCAGCAGUGAGGAAUAUUGGUCAAUGGCCGAGAGGCUGAACCAGCCAAGUCGCGUGAGGGAAGACGGCCCUACGGGUUGUAAACCUCUUUUGUCCGGGAGCAAAGCGAACCACGUGUGGUUCAUUGAGAGUACCCGAAGAAAAAGCAUCGGCUAACUCCGUGCCAGCAGCCGCGGUAAUACGGAGGAUUCGAGCGUUAUCCGGAUUUAUUGGGUGUAAAGGGCGGGUAGGCGGGACUGCAAGUCAGAUGUGAAAGCUAAGGGCUCAACCUGUGGACUGCAUUUGAAACUGGAGGUCUUGAGUACUGGAGAGGCAGGCGGAAUGCCUGGUGUAGCGGUGAAAUGCGUAGAUAUUAGGAAGAACACCAAUGGCGAAGGCGGUCUACUAGACAGCAACUGACGCUGAGGCGCGAAAGCGUGGGGAGCAAACAGGAUUAGAUACCCCUGUAGUC
rnacentral:rRNA from 1 species